GCAUCGGUGGUUCAGUGGUAGAAUGUUCGCCAGCCACGCGGGCGGGCCGGGUUCGAUUCCUGGCCGAUGCA
rnacentral:tRNA from 1 species